rnacentral:lncRNA from 10 species
GCAGUGGCUCACGUCUGUAAUCCCAGCACUUUGGGAGGCCAAGGUGGGCGGAUCACUUGAGGUCAGGAGUUCGAGACCAGCCUGGCCAAUAUGGUGAAACCCCAUCUCUACUAAAAAUAUAAAAAUUAGCUGGGCGUGGUGGCGGGCGCUAUAAUCCCAGCUACUCAGGAGGCUGAGGCAGGAGAAUCACUUGAACCUGGGAGGUGGAGGUUUUAGUGAGCCAAGAUUGCACCACUGCAUUCCAGCCUGGGCGACAAAGUGAGACUCAGUCCAGUCUCAAAACAAAACAAAACACCAAAACACAACAACAAAAACACCACAAGCUCCCAGAGGCAGGUGGGAGAACACCAAGGGUCUUCAUCAGCCCCCUGGGGAGCAGGAGCCCCUUGCCCAGCCUCCCAUCCCAGGUUCCCCUCUGCCCUGCAUCAAACUUCUCCCUGUUGCUGGUUUCUAGAGCUGUUCCCUCUCUGGCACAGCCCCUCUGUCUCCACCCCGCAGCAGCCGGCUUCCAGAAGCUAAAGCUCAGACACCACUGGCCCCUCCCCAGAUGCAACCAAGUACCUGGAAGUCUCCCCACGCCUCACAUUGUCUUUGCUUCACAUUGUCUUUCAGAUGAGUCCCUGGGGAUGCGGAGCUCUUGCGAUUCUGCCAUCUGAUCCUGCAAUACAGGAAAUCACCACUUUCUGGCCUCUGCUGACUGGAGAGCCAGUGUGGCAGGCAGGAAGCUCCAGUCUGGGCUGUCCACUGCCAGGUCAGGUCUGGGGAGAAGGUGGAGAGUCCCAGGCCCGAGAUGGGCUCCUGGUUGGGGUGGGGAGGGCCAGGACAGCCAGCGUGUUCACUCCUCCCACAGACGGUUCUACAAACCCUCGUGGAAACUUUCUGUGCGGCUGGCCCUGUGCUUGGUGCUGUGGGAGCACAAAGGCAAGAGAUCAUGGCACCUGACUUCCAGGAGCCUCCAUCCUGCAGGUCCAAGUAGGACAUUAGCUGCAGAGAAACAGAGCAAAGGAAUAAAUAGCAGUCAGGGAUUUUUCACUUGCAAGUGACGUGAACCCAGGGCCAGAGUAAGAUCUAUAGAGAGGCUGGGCGCGGUGGCUCACGUCUGUAAUCCCAGCACUUUGAGAGGCUGAGGUGGGCGGAUCACUUGAGGUCAGGAGUUUGAGACCAGCCUGGCCAACAUGGUGAAACCCUGUCUCUAUUAAAAAUACAAAAAUUAGCUGGGUGUGGUGGCAUGCGCCUGUAAUCCCAGCUACCCAGGACGCUGAGGCAGGAAAAUCACCUGAACCUGGGAGGCGGAGGUUGCAGUGAGAUCACACCACUGUACUCCAGCCUGGGCGACAGAGGGUGACUCUGUCUCAAAAAACAACAACAAAACAAAAAAAAAAAAAAAAAGGGAAAGAAAGAAAGAAAGAAAGAAUGAACCAGCAUGGCACAUGUAUACAUAUGUAACUAACCUGCACAUUGUGCACAUGUACCCUAAAACUUAAAGUAUAAUAAUAAUAAAUAAAUUAAAAAAAGAAAGAAAGAAAGAAGAAAGAAAGAGAGAGAAAGAAAGGAAGAAAGAAAGAAGGAAAGAAAGAAAGAAAGGAAGAAAGAAAGAAAGAAAGGAAGGAAGGAAGGAAGGAAGGAAGAAAGAAAGAAAGAAAGAAAGAAAGAAAGAAAGAAAGAAAGAAAGAAAGAAAGAAAGAGGAAAAAAGCCCUGAUAUAGCUCUGGCUGUGACUGAGUCACAGCCCCAUACCUGAACUGAUCCCAUAGCAAGCACAGGGUUCAGAAGUGGAGGGGGUAGGAGAAAAGAUGGGCUACUCCGACUUCGAGGCCUGGGCCUUAUGAGCCUCUCUGGAUCCUGGGAGUGGAAUCAGCUUCUUCUGGACCACAUGUCUGAAGGUGGGCGACAGAUAUUUCUCAUGGAAUAUUGGAGUGUUUUGAUCAGAAGGAGGAAGGAUGCUGGGUAGGGUCACAACCAAGGUCUGCUGCUGGUGGGAGAAUGGAAUACGCCCUCAGAGAAGUAUGAACCAAGGGCUGUGGGAAUUCAGAAGAGGGAGAUGUCAUGUCCAGCUGAGGGGGUCAAGGAAGGCUUCAUGGAGGAGGAGGCAUCUGGGCUGGGCCUUGAAGGAUGACCAGAGUUUGGGCAUUGGAUCUCUUAGGAUGGGAGGAAAGGGCAUUGUGGGCAUAGGGAACAAUGUGAGCAGAAACCUGGAUGUAAGCCAGAGAGAAGCAGGGGCUGAAGCCAGAUGAAGGAAAGGCCUCGAAUGCCAAGCUAAGGGGCAUGGAUUGAAUUUGUGGAGCCAAGGAUGGGAUCAUCAGAUCUGAGCCCCUGGAAACGCAUACUACCCACUCAGGGGCCCGGCUCCCCACCCCCACCCCUGGCCUGCUCUGGGUGCCCACAGAUCCCUUUUCCUUUCGUUGAGCUCAGACAAGUCUGGAGUUUUCCAAUAGAAAUGCUUACUCAGAAAUGGAAGAAAAGUGAAAACAGAAAGUGUGAUUACAGACCUUAGCUUUCUCCUGCCAAAGUAGACAAGCUUGGUACCUGUGACAGUCCCUCUUCUCUGGGCUGAACCUGCCCUCUCCCCUCUGCCUGCUGAGCCCCAGGAGAGGCGGGGGCUGUGCUGGGGGUAGACAGCGUGCUCUCCCUGUGGGACCCUCAGGCUCUCCAGGGUCCAUUCCUGCCCUGCCCUGAAUAGUACUUUCUCUGCAGCUGCCCUGGCUCAGGGCAAGGGGGGGCACCCCCAAUUCUCACCCCCUAAAUUCCUCCCCGACCCUGGAGCCACACUGCUCUUAUUAUGUCACCAGGAGGUUUUUCCAAGACGUCUGCUAAGAAUCAGGUGAAAAUCAGCUGAAGGCUGAGUCUGCGCCAGUUCUCAGCCCCUGAAGGGUGGGUAGGGCCAUGUCCCAGUCAAAGGUGUGGACUGUGGAUUCCACCUCUGUUGCUAAGAUGGGACAGAGAAGUCCCAUAGCCUCCCGGAGCCUCAGUUUUCUCUUCUGCAAUAGAGAACUAAUAAGCUCCAGCUCGUAGGAUUUGUUGGAGGAUUAAACAGUAUCCCAGAAGUCACUUACAGGCAUGGGACAUGUCUGCAGUACGUGGUGACAAUGAGGAUGAUGAAGAAGAAGAUAAUGGAGAUGAAGGAACCACCAGGAGGGGAGACAUGGACCAGCAGGGUCUUUUACUUUGGAUUGCUCUGAGGUGACACCAGAUUCCCCAAAUGCCUGAAAACCGAGCUUACAGGAUGGCGAAAUCUGACCUGAACCAACCUGAGAUUAAGUUGCAGUUUCACUUAUCUGGCUGCACGUGA